UCCUCUUCAGGCUCCUCUGAAGACGAUGUUGCAGAUGUCAGUCGUUCCUUUAAUCAACAACUGGACGAAGCGAGGAGUUCAGAUCCCUCUGGCUGAUGGGAUGGAUUUCAUUGAGGAGGUUGUUGAAUAUCACAAUGGUUUCAUUGUGAUUGGAGCAAAUCUUCACUUCACCAAAGGACUGAGAGAAAUGAUAUCAGGUGCCAAUCAGACAGAGACCAACAUGUAAACAUGUAAACAUCUACAGAUAUAUUUAUAGACACUGUGGACAUAUAACUCACUGUGUGAACACGACAUAUAACAAGAUGUUACAGUUUUUCUCAGUCGCGUUGGUACAUUUCUCAGAUCAGAAUUGAAAUUCUCAAAACUUUUUGGGUUUUUUUCCCCGUUAAAGGGUUUUUUUUGGGGAGUUUUUCCUUAUCCGUUGCGAGGGUCAUAAGGACAGAGGGAUGUCGUAUGCUGUAAAGCCCUGUGAGGCAAAUUGUGAUUUGUGAUAUUGGGCUUUAUAAAUAAAACUGAUUGAUUGAUUGAAAACUACUUCUUCAAUCUUCACAUCAUUGUGUCACUUGUGCACAUCAAAAAAGCAGUUUCUCAUUUCUUUGAACAAGUUGCAAAUGCUUUGGUACAUCCAUGCAAAUGAGUAUGUACAAUUCUCUGCUCUUUCCUACAUUAUCAAUUGCUUAUGUCAUGUUGAUCAAAAUGUAUUAUAAUGGGUCUCUGUUGAAUAGUCUCACCCCCACAACAUUUAGGCAUUAGAUCAUCACAUAAGUCUUUACGUGCAAAAUGGUUGAAUAAGUUGUCAUAAUAUGUCAAGCAUAUUUCUAUACUGUACAUUUCCAUUAGACUUUUUUUCUAAAUCUGUCCUGAACUGGUAAAUUGCUCCCAGGUGAAUCCUGACUUUCUCUAACGAAGGGAAAUGUGUGAAGCAUUAGCUCAACCAAUGAUUUACCAGUUUUCUGAAAUAGCUCAAAGGUGCAUCUCAUGAACCAUCAGCUGGCAAGUAUAUAUAUAUAGCUGAAACACAACACAAUGUUACAAUGUCUGACAAUGGAAGGACAAGGAAUUGGACGGGGUCAACAGCCAGAGAGAAAAAGAAGAGGAAGAGGAGAGAGGCUGCAUGGCGGAGGAGUUUUUUCUUUGUGCUCUGCAGUGCUGUCUUUUCCUUUCUGUAUCGCAAUGACAUGGUCUGUCAACAAAUUACAGUACAAACAGUAAAAGCGUAAAUUUGAAUCUUGUCCAGUCUCUUCAAUCAAUCUCCCACAUACACUAAGGUGUACCUUACAAUUUACAAUGAUUGUCAUCAAAACUUUAGUCAUAGUUUACAUCAGAACAUCCCUCCAGAGUACA